GAUGAAGAACGUAGCGAAAUGCGAUAAGUAAUGUGAAUUGCAGAAUUCAGUGAAUCAUCGAAUCUUUGAACGCACCUUGCGCCCUUUGGCUAUUCCAAAGGGCAUGCCUGUUUGAGUAUCAAGAACACCUCAACUCUCAUGGUCUGCCAUGAUGAGCUUGGACUUUGGAGGUCUGCUGGCCUGUGGUCAGCUCCUCUCAAAUGAAUCAGCUUUCCGGUGUUUGGUGGCAUCAUGGGUGUGAUAAAUAUCUACGCUUGUGGUUUUCCACCAGGUAACCUUCAGUGAUGGGGGUUCGCUGGGGCUCAUAAAUGUCUCUCCUCAGCGAAGACAGCUUUGUGAAUGUUUGAUCUCAAAUCAGGUAGGACUACCCGCUGAACUUAAGCAUAUCAAUAAGCGGAGGA
rnacentral:misc_RNA from 1 species